rnacentral:rRNA from 1 species
UACGUAGGGCGCAAACGUUAUCCGGAUUUAUUGGGCGUAAAGAGCUCGUAGGUGGCUUGAAAAGUUGGAUGUGAAAGACCCAGGCUCAACCUGGGGAACGCAUCCAAAACUCUCUAGCUAGAGGUGUGCAGGGGAAGAUGGAACACACAGUGUAGCGGUGAAAUGCGUUGAUAUUGUGUGGAACGCCAAAGGUGAAAACAGUCUUCUGGGCACAUCCUGACACUGAGGAGCGAAAGCGUGGGGAGCGAUCGGG